CCGGCCGCCAGCGGCGCUCGCAAAGUUCGGAUCCGCAAGGACCGGGCCAGCGGGACGUCCGCGUGGCUGUGGUGCACUUUCUCCGCGGUCGAGUGCUACGACCGGUUUCGAGGCGGUCAGAAGCCCGGCGGAAAGGUAGCGCCGCCCUUCGGGGUGUCGUGUUAUAGGCCGCCGCGGUGGACUCGCCGCGAGACCGAGGACGCUUGCCGCGCCGAGCGGUCCCGGGCCGUCUUGGGAGGUUCGACCUCGGCUGCACUGCUCCGCAGAGCACCGUAACCGCCGCCCUAGCACGGGUCCGGAGACUGCCGGCGCCUCGGGUCAGUAGCG
rnacentral:rRNA from 1 species